CAGAAGAGUGCGUUACAGAUGGUUGUGAGCUGCAAUAUGGGAGCUGGGAAUCCCACCCUGAUCCCAGUGCUCUUAACCAAAGAGCCAUCCCUCCCAGCUCUGCGGAAAGUAACAGUAUCAAAAAUGGGACAGCAGGCUACAUUUCAAAUAGCCUCUGCUAAUUAGAAAACUGCCCUGUGUCCUGCAAGGGUCAUCAGCACUGUUUUAAUAUGGGCCUGCUAAUACUCCAUUUCAAAGGCCCUAAGUUAAAAAUCUUGUAUCUUGGCUGCUAAAACCACUGCAGGCCGAGUCUUGUCAAAUAGGACGGGACAUUGUUUUCCAGCCCUGGACAUGGAGCAUACUAGUGUUGUUUAGGGGUGGGAGGGAAUGAGACUGACUGGCUGGCUGACUGACUGGCUGUGUGCAUGCGUUGGAGGUGGGCAGACAAGAAAGCUGAGCUCACACACAUCCCUCUGUGUGCACCUUAGCUGUGAUCCCAGGCUAGAACCUCGUUCUCCUGAGAGUGAAGAUUGCCUUGACAUUUUGAGUGAAGAAAGUCUCCAGUCACUCAUGAAUUUUUCAUACAGGAUUUAGCAAAAGAAGCAGGACGAACCGCAGGACAAAGGCUCUGGCGGCAGCUACUCAGCUCAGCGAGGAGGGGAGACCAUGGCCACCCGGGGUGCCUCUACCCCCGGCGCACCCGCCUUUGUCUGCCCCGCCGCCGUGAUCCGGGUCUGCAUGAAGCGGGCGCCAUCGUGUGGCCAGAGUCUGGUACUGCAGUGCAGGUGGCACGGCGGGACCACGAGAAUGUUGAUAACAUCAUGGUGGUCACUACAUUGGUUGUAAAGAUGCCUUCUAUUAUGUGUGUUGCGUAUAGAUGUACUUCUAAUAAGGGGAUCUGAGCCAACGCCAGAUAAAAAGGAGGACAUUACGUACUUGCCUAUGUAUAGUGAAGAAAAGAUAUCUACACUCAUGAUUGAGAAUACUUGCUAACAUUGUUGUCUGACUCCUCAUGGGAUACCUCUGGGACCUCACAAAAGAAUAGAAUUCCAGUACUGCUGGGUGACCUACAGAAACUGUUUAGAACUCAAGAGAAGGAGAGUGGUUUCUAAUUCGUAUGACCAUUCAAUACCAUGGCCGCAUGUACUCUUUCUCAAACUAAAGCAUUUCAUAGUCAAAAUAAAAAAUAUGUCUGAGACGUA